CCCCAUUUUUAUUUCCCUCUGGUUUUUCUCUGCUUUUUUCUCCGUUCCGCUUUAGCUCUCAUCAUCAGUUCACUAACAAUAAUCAUAAUAGUCAUGAUAAACCCUAAAAAUCUCCACUCAAAUCUUCCUUAGAACUUCACUUCUUCUCCAGCCUUUAUUAGUAUUAUUAUUUUUAUAAAUUUAAAAAGAGAAUUCUUCAUUUUUUUCAUUUUAUUUUUCUGUAAAUAUCUUUACAUUUCAGUUUCAAUCGAGAAUAUUCUCUUUUAUAAUCCUUAAAGUUACUGUUUAUGUAACUCUUCUCAACUUAUACAGUAAAUUUUUGCAAAGUUUUUUUCCUUCUGUAUUUCUUAAAUCGUCAAUUGGAUCUCUGAGUUUGUUGAAAUAAAAAAUUUGAUUUUCUUUGUUUUGCCGUGUUUUCAAGAGUUGGCAACUUUGGUUGUAAGGUAGGAUAUGAUACUGUCAGAUGCUAGCAUUUGAUGUUGGUGAAUUAUGUGACCGUCGGUGGAGAGUGUGAGGCUCUGCGCUGAGCAAAUAGAUGCAGGCAGUUGGCUUUUAGUAGUAAUGAAGAACAUACAGAGCACACAAGAUAAAAAACCCUCAACUCAAGCUUCACAUGAACCAAAAACAGAACCACAAAACAGUCAAAUAGCAGAUGGUCCCUUAGCAGAUUCUGGCUCUUUAUCUACUUCAAGCAAUGAUGGCAAAAAAGUUUCACGCCAAGAUAUAGAACUUGUCCAGAAUUUAAUUGAACGAUGUUUACAACUCUAUAUGAACAGAGAUGAGGUUGUCAAAACCCUCUUGACUCGAGCGAGGAUAGACCCUGGAUUCACAACUUUAGUAUGGCAGAAGCUGGAAGAGGAAAAUGCUGACUUUUUCAGGGCUUAUUAUAUAAGGCUGAAGUUAAAGAAGCAAAUCCUUUUAUUCAACCAUUUGCUUGAGCAUCAAUAUCACAUGAUGAAAUAUCCUGUGCCUCCAAAGGUUCCUAUGGCUCCAAUACAAAAUGGGAUCCAUCCCAUGCCCGUUAACAAUUUACCAAUGGGAUACCCUGUGCUGCAACAACCUCAAUUUCCAGCUGCAGGGCAACCUCAUAUGGACUCCAUGGGUAUAUCAAGCUGUCAUGUUGUCAACGGAGUCCCUGCUACCAGCAACUUUCAACCUAUGCGGAUGAAUUCUGGGAAUGACAUGGUGAUGGACAGCAAUGCCAGUGAUGUAAUACCUUCAGUUCCACCAACCACUGCCAUGUCAUCCAUGUCAGAGAUGCCUUUGAGCUGUACAUCAGUGGCAUCCAGUGGGAGUUUUCCCUUCAGUGCAUCAGAUAUGUCAGGGAUGGGGGUAGACACAUCGGCACUUGAUUCAGCCUUCACAACAGAUGUGGCAAGUUCAGUAGGAUUGCAGCUGGGACAGGAUAAUGAAACUGGGAAUUCUAGAGAUUCCUUUAGACCACUUGAUCAGAUUCAGUGGAAUUUCAGUCUCACAGAUCUGACUGCAGACUUGUCAAACUUGGGAGAUCUAGGUGCCCUUGGGAAUUACCCUGGUUCUCCUUUUCUUCCCUCUGAUUCAGAAAUUUUGCUUGAUUCUUCGGAGCAAGAGAAUAUAGUGGAGGAAUUUUUUGUUGAUUCUGUCCCCGAACAGCCGUGCUCUCCGUCUGAUGAAGAUAAAUCCUAGAUAAAGUAAUAGGGAUUGCAGUAGAGUAGAGUAGAGAAGAGAAGAGAAUGUCGUUCAUGCAACUAAAAAAACCAACACCGGCGACAGAAAAUUGAUGGGUUGAUUGAAAGGGUUUUAAUCGGUUACCGUAUGCAGAAGGGAGGAGACAUUAAUGAACGAGCAAUAUUCCCCUUAUUGGUGGCCUCAAUCACUAUUUCCUCACUUGUCUUGAACACCUGUAUUACGUAUUGAAUAAUCAUCAACAAUCGGUCCUUAAACAAAUUAAGGGCGGCAGCAGCCAAAAAGCAAGGGUGUUCCAACAUGAUUAAUUACGGGCGAUCAAGGCGGCACUAAGAUACCGCUUGUGUGACAAGUUUGUUCAGAGAAUGGAAAACAUUGAGCCAUUUUUAUAAAUGUUUUUAAAACCACAACACUAUCAAACCUUGCUGGUUCAUAAAACCAAGCAAAUAUUGACAUGUACUGUCACCAUUCAGUUCAAUCCUCUAAAUAAUAAUAUGGUAAAUUUAUUGUUGGUUACAUCUUCUCUGAUUGUGUG